rnacentral:rRNA from 1 species
UGAACGCUAGCGACAGGCUUAACACAUGCAAGUCGAGGGGUAACAGGGUGUAGCAAUACACCGCUGACGACCGGCGCACGGGUGAGUAACGCGUAUGCAACCUGCCUUUGACAGAGGGAUAGCCCAUGGAAACGUGGAUUAAUACCUCAUAGUCUCUUUUUCCUUCCUGGGGAAUAGAGUAAAACGAGAGUGGUCAAAGAUGGGCAUGCGUCCUAUUAGGCAGUUGGCGGGGUAACGGCCCACCAAACCGAUGAUAGGUAGGGGUUCUGAGAGGAAGGUCCCCCACACUGGUACUGAGACACGGACCAGACUCCUACGGGAGGCAGCAGUGAGGAAUAUUGGUCAAUGGUCGAGAGACUGAACCAGCCAAGCCGCGUGAGGGAUGACUGCCCUAUGGGUUGUAAACCUCUUUUCUACUGGGAGAAUAAGCCCUAUGUAUAGGGUGAUGACAGUACAGUAGGAAUAAGCAUCGGCUAACUCCGUGCCAGCAGCCGCGGUAAUACGGAGGAUGCGAGCGUUAUCCGGAUUUAUUGGGUUUAAAGGGUGCGUAGGCGGCUUUAUAAGUUAGUGGUAAAAUUUCGGAGCUUCACUCCGGUCCGCCAUUAAAACUGUAGAGCUAGAGAAUGGACGAGGUAGGCGGAAUAAGUUAAGUAGCGGUGAAAUGCAUAGAUAUAACUUAGAACUCCGAUAGCGAAGGCAGCUUACCAGACCAUAACUGACGCUGAUGCACGAGAGCGUGGGUAGCGAACAGGAUUAGAUACCCUGGUAGUCCACGCCGUAUACGAUGCUCACCGGCCCUUAGCGAUAAGACAGUUAGGGGUUAAUUGAAAGAAUUAAGUGAGCCACCUGGGGAGUACGUCGGCAACGAUGAACCUCAAAGGAAUGGACGGGGGUCCGCUCAAGCGGAGGAACAUGUGGUUUAAUUAGAUGAUACGCGAGGAUCCUUACGUGGGUGUAAACGUAGAGUGCAUAAUCUGGAAACAGUUUUUCUCUUCGGAGCUAUAUACAAGGUGCUGCAUGGUUGUCGUCAGCUCGUGCCGUGAGGUGUCGGGUUACAGUCCUAUAACGAGCGCAACCCUUGCCGUUAGUUGUUAGCAAGUAAUGAUGAGCACUCUAGCGGGACUGCCACCGUAAGGUGAGAGGAAGGGGGGGAUGACGUCAAAUCAGCACGGUCUUUACAUCCAGGGCGACACACGUGUUGCAAUGGCCAUAACAGCGGGUAGCUGCCGGGCGACCGGACGCAAAUCUCGAAAAUUGGUUUAAGUUCGGAUUGGAGUCUGCAACCCGACUCCAUGAAGUUGGAUUUGUUAGUAAUCGAGCAUCAUCCAUGGCGCGGUGAAUACGUUCCCGGGCCUUGUUCACACCGCCCGUCAAGCCAUGGAAGCUGGGAGUACCAGAAGUCCGUAACCGCGAGGA